AAGAAUCCAUAAUCCAGCAAUACAUCUCCAAUAUUUUGUUGCUAGAUUGUGGCACAAAUAUUUACCCACUAUGCCAUGACAAUUGACAAACAUAAUGUGUAGAUGUGCAUUACACAACAAAUUACACCUCCAGGAAAUUUCUUCACUAGUUUUUUAGCAACUGGACGUGUACCCUUCGCUCUCUUUUUCCCCAAUACAGUUUGCUCCUUUGCUGCCUUGCUGAGAUGAAGCAAAAGUGGUUUUUUUUCUAACAAAUAUUCGAAACAGGCAAACUUACAAAAACUUUCGACUUUAAAUUUCCAAUCCUGACCUGAUGCAAAUAUUCUUUCAUAGGAAAAUCUCAUAUGCACAGUGACGAGCAGGAAGAAGAAAAAUUAAUCAGUAAUGUUCACCAAAUCGCCUCAAUGGCCUUGCCGAUAAUCGCCAGCUUGUCACCGAGAGCUGCUGGGUCAUCCCCUGGCUGAGAUCAUAUAUGUGCAGCUUCACCGGGUACCCAUCUUGCACACAAUCACUCAAAUCAUCAUCUGCUCAGUUCAGAUGCUUGCGAGAAAGAAUGGCAGAAUCAAAAUUCAGCCCCCUACUACCUCUGCCAUCUUCUCCACCCGAGUUCUUGCUUGACUUUUUUCCUUCCAAUUCUCUAUGAAGUUGAUACUGACAAAGCUGAAUUUAGGCCCUGUUUAGCUUCCUACCGAAAAAAUUUUCAUCCAUCCCAUCGAAUCUUUGGACACAUGCAUGAAACAUUAAAUGUAGAUAAAAAAAUAAACUAAUUACACAGUUUGGUUGAAAAUCACGAGACGAAUCUUUUAAGCCUAGUUAGUCCAUGAUUAGCCUUAAGUGCUACAGUAACCCACAUAUGCUAAUGACAGAUUAAUUAUACUUAAUAGAUUCGUCUUGCAGUUUCCUGACGAGUUAUGUAAUUUAUUUUUUUAUUAGUUUCUAAAAACCCCUUCCGACAUCCUUACGACAUAUCCGAUGUGACACCCAAAAAAUUUUCAUCUACAAUCUAAACAGGCCCUUAUGCCAAACUCUUACCCCAGAGCUAAGAGCCUAAGGUUUUCCCCAAAUUCUACCAGCUCAAAUCCCCAUUCA
rnacentral:lncRNA from 1 species